UUCCCCACAAAGACUUCAGCUUGUGUCACAUCCUCUGUUGAUAAAGUAGAACCUUUAUCUCUAAUGCUUUCAGCCAAGCGUUCUGCUCACAUAGCAUGUGGUGUCAAUCAAGGAGAUUUAUGGGGCUACGUCAUUGAAACUGGUGGAGGUUUCUAGAAGAACUAAACCACUGGAUAGAAUCACAGAAUUAUAGAAUGGCUUGGAGUUGGAGUUGGGUUGGAGUGGACCUCCAAGAUCAUCAAGUUCCAACCCCCCUGCUGUCAUCACACUUCCUUCAGCUGCCCUGUCUCAAGGCCAUCUUCCCCAAAGGCAUCCAGUCAUCAUGCAGAAACGGAGACCAAGAGCAGAGUUUGCCACAGUCAUUAAUCACUUCUGUUGCUUUGGGGUAUGACUGAGUGGUGCUGGUUACACCAGCUAGAGGCCUGGUCCUGGCAUUGAUAACAAAUCAUGGAAGACCUACAGAUGGAAACAGCAACAACAAACCUGAUUAAAAAUACCACUUCAGAUCCACCAAACUUUCUGCUAUUGAUUGACAAAUGAGGAGACUCAAAAACACAGGAAGCCAC